rnacentral:rRNA from 1 species
AAGACGCGCGUAGGUGGUUUGUUAAGUUGGAUGUGAAAUCCCCGGGCCUCAACCUGGGAACUGCAUCCAAAACUGGCAAGCUAGAGUAUGGUAGAGGGUGGUGGAAUUUCCUGUGUAGCGGUGAAAUGCGUAGAUAUAGGAAGGAACACCAGUGGCGAAGGCGACCACCUGGACUGAUACUGACACUGAGGUGCGAAAGCGUGGGGAGCAAACAGGAUUAGAUCCCGAGU